rnacentral:rRNA from 1 species
UAGAGUUUGAUCCUGGCUCAGAACGAACGCUGGCGGCGUGCUUAACACAUGCAAGUCGAACGCGAAAGUUUUCUUCGGAAAGCGAGUAGAGUGGCGCACGGGUGAGUAACGCGUAAGUAAUCUACCCUGGUAUCUGGGAUAACCCACCGAAAGGUGUGCUAAUACCGGAUACGCUGAGUAAUCAGGAAAGGUGGCCUCUUCAUGAAAGCUACUGUACCAGGAGGAGCUUGCGUACCAUUAGCUAGUUGGUAGGGUAAUGGCCUACCAAGGCAACGAUGGUUAGCGGGUCUGAGAGGAUGAUCCGCCACACUGGAACUGGAACACGGACCAGACUCCUACGGGAGGCAGCAGUGAGGAAUAUUGCGCAAUGGGGGAAACCCUGACGCAGCGACGCCGCGUGGAUGAUGAAGGCCUUCGGGUCGUAAAAUCCUGUCAGGUGGAAAGAAGUGUAGUAUACCUAAUACGUGUACUAUUUGACGGUACCACCAAAGGAAGCACCGGCUAACUCCGUGCCAGCAGCCGCGGUAAUACGGAGGGUGCAAGCGUUGUUCGGAAUUACUGGGCGUAAAGCGCGCGUAGGCGGCUAUUUAAGUCAGAUGUGAAAGUCCACGGCUCAACCGUGGAAGUGCAUUUGAAACUGGAUGGCUUGAGUACUGGAGGGGGUGGGUGGAAUUCCCGGUGUAGAGGUGAAAUUCGUAGAUAUCGGGAGGAAUACCGGUGGCGAAGGCGACCACCUGGCCAGAUACUGACGCUGAGGUGCGAAAGCGUGGGGAGCAAACAGGAUUAGAUACCCUGGUAGUCCACGCCGUAACGAUGUCAACUAGGUGUUGGGGAGGUUAAUCUUCUCAUUGCCGGAGCUAACGCAUUAA